ACGAAGGGGGCUAGCGUUGCUCGGAAUCACUGGGCGUAAAGGGCGCGUAGGCGGACUCUUAAGUCGGGGGGUGAAAGCCCAGGGCUCAACCCUGGAAUUGCCUUCGAUACUGGGAGUCUUGAGUUCGGAAGAGGUUGGUGGAACUGCGAGUGUAGAGGUGAAAUUCGUAGAUAUUCGCAAGAACACCGGUGGCGAAGGCGGCCAACUGGUCCGAUACUGACGCUGAGGCGCGAAAGCGUGGGGAGCAAGCAG
rnacentral:rRNA from 1 species